rnacentral:rRNA from 1 species
AUACGUAGGUGGCAAGCGUUAUCCGGAUUUACUGGGUGUAAAGGGCGCGUAGGCGGGGGUGCAAGUCAGAUGUGAAAUCUAUGGGCUUAACUCAUAAACUGCAUUUGAAACUGUAUCUCUUGAGUGCUGGAGAGGUAGACGGAAUUCCUUGUGUAGCGGUGAAAUGCGUAGAUAUAAGGAAGAACACCAGUGGCGAAGGCGGUCUACUGGACAGUAACUGACGCUGAGGCGCGAAAGCGUGGGGAGCAAACAGGAUUAGAUACCCUGGUAGUCCACGCUGUAAACGAUGAAUACUAGGUGUGGGGGGACUGACCCCCUCCGUGCCGCAGUUAACACAAUAAGUAUUCCACCUGGGGAGUACGGCCGCAAGGUUGAAACUUAAAGGAAUUGACGGGG